rnacentral:lncRNA from 1 species
UCUAGAUUGUGUAUUUAGUUCUGGCCUGAUGAGACAAGCUCUUUUCAUCUGAUUUUUUACAGUUCGAAUUAAUGUUGUGCCAUUUAACCCAUUGUCCCAUGAUAGGCGUUGAAAUUGAGCGAUCUCAAAAAUGUUUAAAAUUUGAGAUGGUUUUUUUCUUUUUCUUUUUGGGUUUUCCUUUUGAAUGAUAUUUGCUUAAUUAACGCUGUUAGUUUUCUUGUAUGAAAUGUUUAUUUUUAUAUUAUGCAGCUGUAGAAUACAAUAAGGCAUGUCUCUCAUUGUUGAAGGGCGUAUCAUGUUUGUAUCACUGUCUGUUGUUAUUAGAUGGAUAGUUGUUUCAUUUGAAAUAAUCUUUUUUUCAAUUGCAUUAUUAUGUCAUGUUUUAAAGACUAUUUCAUACCAUUAAUACUGGUAAAUUUUAACCAAAUAUCUCAUCACGCGUAAAGGUAUGUAUUCAUCCUUGAUUUCAAUUAUGUAAAUGAAUUGACCAUUUAUGAUAAAGUUGAUCUAGAAACGCGCGUUGGAUUCAUCAAAUAUAUCGUUAAUUUUUUCAUCACCGAACAUGAUUAUUUAACAUAUACAUGAAUAACUUGUUACUACUUUUUAUGAAUUUAAAUUUCUAAAUCUCGAAUAAAAAAAAAAUUCUAUUGCAUGAACAAUAUUUUUGUGUUAUUAGUAACUUUAUAUCUCUUUAUUUUUUAUUUUAUUUUUUAUACCAAAACGGAAACUAAAUGUC